AUUGAACGCUGGCGGCAGGCCUAACACAUGCAAGUCGAACGGUAGCACAGAGAGCUUGCUCUCGGGUGACGAGUGGCGGACGGGUGAGUAACGUCUGGGAAACUGCCCGAUGGAGGGGGAUAACUACUGGAAACGGUAGCUAAUACCGCAUAACGUCGCAAGACCAAAGUGGGGGACCUUCGGGCCUCACACCAUCGGAUGUGCCCAGAUGGGAUUAGCUAGUAGGUGGGGUAAUGGCUCACCUAGGCGACGAUCCCUAGCUGGUCUGAGAGGAUGACCAGCCAAACGGGAACUGAGACACGGUCCAGACUCCUACGGGAGGCAGCAGUGGGGAAUAUUGCACAAUGGGCGCAAGCCCGAUGCAGCCAUGCCGCGUGUAUGAAGAAGGCCUUCGGGUUGUAAAGUACUUUCAGCGGGGAGGAAGGCGGUGAAGUUAAUAGCUUCACCGAUUGACGUUACCCGCAGAAGAAGCACCGGCUAACUCCGUGCCAGCAGCCGCCGUAA
rnacentral:rRNA from 1 species